UAAUUUGACUCAACGCGGGGAAUCUUACCGGGUCCGGACACACUGAGGAUUGACAGACAGUUGUCUUUCCCUCCCUUCGGGGUGGGAUUACAAAAGAUAACAGAUCUUUCAUGAUCAUGUGAUGGGUGGUGCAUGGCCGUUCUUAGUUCGUGGAGUGAUCUGUCUGCUUAAUUGCGUUUCAAAUUUUAUAUUUGUUAACAUGCGAGUCUUCAAUGACGGCCACUCCACCUUAUAGACAUUAUAUGAUAUGCACAUUUGUGUAUUUGAUUAUAACUUGUCUGGAGUCUGGCUCGAUUUUUUUGACUCAAUUGAACGCAACGGACGUGAUUGCAAGUCCUUGUUGAACAAAUUAUAUAUAUACUACUUCAUCAUUAGUAUAUAUAGUUCGCUUCUCAUGUCGUAGCAGUCAAACGGGCGGGCGUCUUAAUUGGCGCGGUCACGAGGCUUAAUAUGCUGCGGCUGGGGAAAACUUGGGCGACCGCUGUAAUACUUCUCUCUUAAACCAGAGGAAGAUUGCGGCAAUAACAGG
rnacentral:rRNA from 1 species